UACGUAGGGUGCAAGCGUUGUCCGGAAUUAUUGGGCGUAAAGGGCUCGUAGGCGGUCUGUUGCGUCGGCUGUGAAAACCCGGGGCUUAACCCCGAGCCUGCAGUGGAUACGGGCAGACUAGAGGUAGGUAGGGGAGAAUGGAAUUCCCGGUGUAGCGGUGAAAUGCGCAGAUAUCGGGAGGAACACCGGUGGCGAAGGCGGUUCUCUGGGCCUUACCUGACGCUGAGGAGCGAAAGCGUGGGGAGCGAACAGG
rnacentral:rRNA from 1 species